CUCUCCGAAAACUAUUUAGGUAGUGCCUCAAGUAUUACCUGCGGGGGUAGAGCACUGUUUAGGCUAGGGGGUCAUGGCGACUUACCAAACCUAUGCAAACUCCGAAUACCGCAGAGUACAGCUUGGGAGACAGAGCACCGGGUGCUAACGUCCGGACUCAAGAGGGAAACAACCCAGACCGCCAGCUAAGGUCCCUAAAAUUGGCUAAGUGGGAAACGAAGUGGGAAGGCUAAAACAGUCAGGAUGUUGGCUUAGAAGCAGCCAUCAUUUAAAGAAAGCGUAAUAGCUCACUGAUCGAGUCGUCCUGCGCGGAAGAUGUAACGGGGCUAAGCCAGUUACCGAAGCUGCGGAUUUGCAAUUUAUUGCAAGUGGUAGGAGAGCGUUCUGUAGGCCUGUGAAGGUGUCUGGUAACGGAUGCUGGAGGUAUCAGAAGUGCGAAUGCUGACAUGAGUAGCGUUAAAGGGGGUGAAAAGCCCCCUCGCCGUAAGCGCAAGGUUUUCUACGCAACGUUCAUCGGCGUAGAGUGAGUCGGCCCCUAAGGCGAGGCAGAGAUGCGUAGCUGAUGGGAAACAGGUCAAUAUUCCUGUACCGAUCAAUAGUGCGAUGUGGGGACGGAGAAGGUUAGCUCAGCCAACUGUUGGAUAUGUUGGUUCAAGCCUGUAGUCGUGCUCGGUAGGCAAAUCCGCCGGGUUUAGAUGAGGGGUGAUAACGAGUCUGCUUGCAGACGAAGUGAGUGAUACCCUGCUUCCAGGAAAAGCCACUAAGCUUCAGCUAUUGACGACCGUACCGCAAACCGACACUGGUGCGCGAGAUGAGUAUUCUAAGGCGCUUGAGAGAACUCAGGAGAAGGAACUCGGCAAAUUGAUACCGUAACUUCGGGAGAAGGUAUGCCCCAAGUAGGUGAACUCGUACAGAGGGAGCCCAACGGGGUUGCAAAAAAUCGGUGGCUGCGACUGUUUAAUAAAAACACAGCACUCUGCAAACACGAAAGUGGACGUAUAGGGUGUGACGCCUGCCCGGUGCUGGAAGAUUAAAUGAUGGGGUGCAAGCUCUUGAUUGAAGUCCCAGUAAACGGCGGCCGUAACUAUAACGGUCCUAAGGUAGCGAAAUUCCUUGUCGGGUAAGUUCCGACCUGCACGAAUGGCGUAACGAUGGCCACACUGUCUCCUCCUGAGACUCAGCGAAGUUGAAAUGUUUGUGAUGAUGCAAUCUCCCCGCGGAAAGACGGAAAGACCCCAUGAACCUUUACUGUAGCUUUGUAUUGGACUUUGAACAGAUCUGUGUAGGAUAGGUGGGAGGCUUUGAAGUGAGGACGCUAGUUCUCAUGGAGCCAACGUUGAAAUACCACCCUGGUGUGUUUGAGGUUCUAACCUAGGUCCAUUAUCUGGAUCGGGGACAGUGCAUGGUAGGCAGUUUGACUGGGGCGGUCUCCUCCCAAAGCGUAACGGAGGAGUUCGAAGGUACGCUAGUUACGGUCGGACAUCGUGACGAUAGUGCAAUGGCAUAAGCGUGCUUAACUGCGAGACUGACAAGUCGAGCAGAUGCGAAAGCAGGACAUAGUGAUCCGGUGGUUCUGUAUGGAAGGGCCAUCGCUCAACGGAUAAAAGGUACUCUGGGGAUAACAGGCUGAUACCGCCCAAGAGUUCAUAUCGACGGCGGUGUUUGGCACCUCGAUGUCGGCUCAUCUCAUCCUGGGGCUGUAGCCGGUCCCAAGGGUAUGGCUGUUCGCCAUUUAAAGAGGUACGUGAGCUGGGUUUAAAACGUCGUGAGACAGUUUGGUCCCUAUCUUCCGUGGGCGCUGCAGAUUUGAGGAAGCCUGCUCCUAGUACGAGAGGACCGGAGUGGACACACCUCUGGUGUAUCGGUUGUCACGCCAGUGGCAUUGCCGAGUAGCUAAGUGUGGAAGAGAUAACCGCUGAAAGCAUCUAAGCGGGAAACUCGUUUCAAGAUGAGAUCUGCCGGGGCCUUGAGCCCCCUAAAGAGUCGUUCAAGACCAGGACGUUGAUAGGUCAGGUGUGGAAGCGCAGUAAUGCGUUAAGCUAACUGAUACUAAUUGCUCGUGCGGCUUGACCCUA
rnacentral:rRNA from 1 species